rnacentral:rRNA from 1 species
GGCGGCAGGCUUAACACAUGCAAGUCGAGCGGUAGCAGAUCUAGCUUGCUAGAUGCUGACGAGCGGCGGACGGGUGAGUAACGCGUAGGAACCUGCCAGUAGUGGGGGAUAGCCCGGGGAAACUCGGAUUAAUACCGCAUACGCUCUACGGAGGAAAGAGGGGCUUCGGCUCUCGCUAUUGGAUGGGCCUGCGUGAGAUUAGCUAGUUGGUGAGGUAAUGGCUCACCAAGGCGACGAUCUCUAGCUGGUCUGAGAGGAUGAUCAGCCACACUAGGACUGAGACACGGCCCAGACUCCUACGGGAGGCAGCAGUGGGGAAUAUUGCACAAUGGGCGCAAGCCUGAUGCAGCCAUGCCGCGUGUGUGAAGAAGGCUUUCGGGUUGUAAAGCACUUUCAGUGGGGAGGAAGGCCUCGUAGUUAAUAGCUGCGAGGAUUGACGUUACCCACAGAAGAAGCACCGGCUAACUCCGUG